GGCCGGGUGGCCCAAUGGUAGGGCGUUGGUUUUCGGUUGCGAAAUACACCAAAGGUUGUGGGUUCGAUCCCCAUCUCGGUCG